UGCCUACGGGGCGCAGCAGUGGGGGAUAUUGCACAAUGGGGGGAACCCUGAUGCAGCGACGCCGCGUGGGCGAUGGAGCGCCUCGGCGCGUAAAGCCCUAUCAGCAGGGAAGAAGAUGACGGUACCUGACUAAGAAGCCCCGGCUAAAUACGUGCCAGCAGCCGCGGUAAUACGUAUGGUGCAAGCGUUAUCCGGAAUGACUGGGUGUAAAGGGAGCGUAGACGGUUGUACAAGUCUGAUGUGAAAGCCCACGGCUCAACUGUGGGAGUGCAUUGGA
rnacentral:rRNA from 1 species